GCUCCUCCCACCAGCCUCCACUGCUGUGUAGUAAUCCAUUAGGUGUGUACUCUGCUAUCAGUCUAUAGCUCCUCCCACCAGCCUCCACUGCUGUGUAGUAAUCCAUUAGGUGUGUACUCUGCUAUCAGUCUAUAGCUCCUCCCACCAGCCUCCACUGCUGUGUAGUAAUCCAUUAGGUGUGUACUCUGCUAUCAGUCUAUAGCUCCUCCCACCAGCCUCCACUGCUGUGUAGUAAUCCAUUAGGUGUGUACUCUGCUAUCAGUCUAUAGCUCCUCCCACCAGCCUCCACUGCUGUGUAGUAAUCCAUUAGGUGUGUACUCUGCUAUCAGUCUAUAGCUCCUCCCACCAGCCUCCACUGCUGUGUAGUCAUCCAUUAGGUGUGUACUCUGCUAUCAGUCUAUAGCUCCUCCCACCAGCCUCCACUGCUGUGUAGUAAUCCAUUAGGUGUGUACUCUGCUAUCAGUCUAUAGCUCCUCCCACCAGCCUCCACUGCUGUGUAGUAAUCCAUUAGGUGUGUACUCUGCUAUCAGUCUAUAGCUCCUCCCACCAGCCUCCACUGCUGUGUAGUCAUCCAUUAGGUGUGUACUCUGCUAUCAGUCUAUAGCUCCUCCCACCAGCCUCCACUGCUGUGUAGUAAUCCAUUAGGUGUGUACUCUGCUAUCAGUCUAUAGCUCCUCCCACCAGCCUCCACUGCUGUGUAGUAAUCCAUUAGGUGUGUACUCUGCUAUCAGUCUAUAGCUCCUCCCACCAGCCUCCACUGCUGUGUAGUAAUCCAUUAGGCGUGUACUCUGCUAUCAGUCUAUAGCUCCUCCCACCAGCCUCCACUGCUGUGUAGUAAUCCAUUAGGUGUGUACUCUGCUAUCAGUCUAUAGCUCCUCCCACCAGCCUCCACUGCUGUGUAGUAAUCCAUUAGGCGUGUACUCUGCUAUCAGUCUAUAGCUCCUCCCACCAGCCUCCACUGCUGUGUAGUAA